GACGAACGCUGGCGGCAGGCCUAACACAUGCAAGUCGAGCGCGCCCUUCGGGGUGAGCGGCGGACGGGUUAGUAACGCGUGGGAAUAUGCCCAAAGGUACGGAAUAGCCUCUGGAAACGGAGAGUAAUACCGUAUGUGCCCUUCGGGGGAAAGAUUUAUCGCCUUUGGAUUAGCCCGCGUUAGAUUAGGUAGUUGGUGGGGUAAUGGCCUACCAAGCCUACGAUCUAUAGCUGGUUUUAGAGGAUGAUCAGCAACACUGGGACUGAGACACGGCCCAGACUCCUACGGAGGCAGCAGUGGGGAAUCUUGGACAAUGGGGGCAACCCUGAUCCAGCCAUGCCGCGUGAGUGAUGAAGGCCCUAGGGUCGUAAGCUCUUUCCGAGAUAAUG
rnacentral:rRNA from 1 species